AUACGGAGGGUGCAAGCGUUAUCCGGAAUCAUUGGGUUUAAAGGGUCCGUAGGCGGGCAAAUAAGUCAGAGGUGAAAUCCCACAGCUUAACUGUGGAACUGCCUUUGAUACUGUUUGUCUUGAGUUAUAGUGAAGUAGAUAGAAUAUGUAGUGUAGCGGUGAAAUGCAUAGAUAUUACAUAGAAUACCGAUUGCGAAGGCAGUCUACUAACUAUUGACUGACGCUAAUGGACGAAAGCGUGGGGAGCGAACAGGAUUAGAAACCCUAGUAGUCC
rnacentral:rRNA from 1 species